rnacentral:rRNA from 1 species
UACGUAGGUGGCAAGCGUUGUCCGGAUUUAUUGGGUUUAAAGGGUGCGUAGGCGGUCAUGUAAGUCAGUGCUGAAAUAUCCCGGCUUAACCGGGAGGGUGGCAUUGAUACUGUAUGACUUGAGUAAAGUUGAGGUUGGCGGAAUUGACGGUGUAGCGGUGAAAUGCGUUGAUAUCAUCAGGAACACCGGUGGCGAAGGCGGCUUACUGGAUCUCUUCUGACGCUGAUGCACGAAAGCUAGGGGAGCGAACGGG